rfam:TPA: Bos taurus chromosome 27, whole genome shotgun sequence.
UCCCUGGUGGUCCUGUGACUAAGACUCUGAGCUCCCAAUACAGUGGGCCUGGGUUCGAUCCCUGGUCAGGGAA